CUCCAGCUCCACCCUGCAGCCAGUAUAUAAGUAAGGAAGGUGACCCAGGGCAAUUGAUGAAAGUCUGAGCUACUGCAGGAGGCACUUUGGAAUAAUGAGUUGCUGCACUACAAAGACUGCUCAGCUGUAUGGAGGCAACUAUCAAGGCAAAGGUCUUGUCGUCUGCACUUGCACAUUAGAUGACCAAGGUGCAGGAAGAAGACUGAGUUCUCCUCUGUUUAAAGAUGAACUUUGACAAAAUGGACAGUUCUGACUUCUGACUCAGAGUUAAUCAGUUGCUGAGAACUGUGCCCUGCUGCUUUGUCUGUCUAUCAUCUGUCUUCAGCUAAUGAAUUCCUUUGGGGUGGAGUGUUCUAUCUUCUGUUAUAUUUUCAGUGGCAGCAGUAUACCCAGCAAAGGAAAAUUCCACUAGAAUAUAAUAUUGAGAACUUAAUAUUGCACUGAAAGUCAUGUUAAAAUUUGAGGACAGACAAAUUCUAGAUCUACAGAGCAAGCAAAUCUCUUUACUAAUUAUGUUGACUGAGAUUUCAGAUAAUAAAGCUCUUUAGAAGAGGUGGUGUGAUUCCAGAGAAGUCCACUUGUGCUGACUGAUGCUCCAACACAAUUUGGAGGCAAUGUCUUUGGAGAAGGUGACAAUGGGAUGAAUUGGUCCUGUGCUAAACAUCUGAAUUCAGUGCAGUUGGGACUCUAGCUGAGACCCCUGAUGAGUUUGUCCUUUCUUCUAGGAUAUUUGCAACAACAGGAUUGUCCAUAUCAUGUGCACCUUUAUGCCCUAAGGAAUUUGCAAUGAAGUUGUUCAGGCACUUUCUUUUAUAUAUCUCUGUGGUGCCACUGCAGUUGAUUGCUUCAACUGCUCUGACUGAAGCAGAAAGACUUAAUAAAAAGUGAGAUGAAGUACUCAAUGAAACUUCCCCGGAGUGGGUGGGGAGGUGAACUGUGACUGUACUGCAAGGGGUUUGUCUUCCCUUUAGGAAAUUGUAUUUUCAAAAAGAAAGCCUAACAGGAGUGUACCUGCUGGUGCACAUCUUUAAGCUCUGUAUUGGAAGAUCUUUUUUAGACAGAGCUUUUCAUUUAAAGAGGUAUAUUCAUCCCUGGUAUUAAAGUUCUCUAGACCUAA